UACGUAGGGGGCGAGCGUUGUCCGGAGUUACUGGGCGUAAAGGGCAUGCAGGCGGUCGGACGCGUUUCGGGUGACAGCGGGUGGCUUAACCACCCGAGUGGUCGAAAGACGGUUUGACUUGAGGACGCGAGAGGGACACGGAAUUCCGGGUGGAGUGGUGAAAUGCGUAGAGAUCCGGAGGAACACCGAAGGCGAAGGCAGUGUCCUGGCGCGUAACUGACGCUGAGGUGCGAAAGCCAGGGGAGCAAACGGG
rnacentral:rRNA from 1 species